GGGUUGAGUCGCUGCUCCACCAGAGUGUCCGCCCGCAGGAAAACCGGCCACGCCCCCGCGCCACUGCGCCUGCGCACUUCAGAACACCGGCGGGCUGGGAGCUUCUAAAUCGCCUCAAUUUGGAGUGCAGUGGGUGAAUUUCAGAGCCUGCGUGACUCCAGGAAGCAGGUGUCACUUGUGCCACCCUCUGGGAACUGAGCUGUGCCUCAUCCAGCAUCUGAAGUCGCUGCCGCUCCCACCGGGACACUCUGUCACCUUAAGAAACCCCUGUCGCUGUCUCGGAUCUUUCUUUCCCUCUGAGAAUGUUUCCGGUUGAGAUUCUGGCCCUCAGAAUCGUGACAAGCGACUGAGAGAGGCUUCCAGGACGGAGCUGACCUCAGCUGGAGCCACAAUCACACCGUUGUGCGUCACAGUCCUUCCUUCUUCAUGGCUGCUGAGGACACCUGUGCUGGCUAAUUUUCUGUGUCAACCUGACACAGGCUAGCGUCAUCAGAGAAAGGAGGAAAUGCCUCCAUGAGAUCCAGCUGUAAGGCAUUUUCUCAAUUAGGGAUCCAUGGUGGGAAGAAUCCAGCCUGUGUGGGUGGUGCCUUCCCUGGACUGCUGGUCCUGUGAAAGCAGACUGAAUAAGCCAAGGGAAGCAAGCCAGUAAGCAGCACCCCUCCAUGACCUCUGCAUCACGGAUCCUGGACCCUGCCUCCAGGAUCCUUCCCUAUUUGAGUUCCUGUCCUGACUUCCUCCAAUGAUGAACAAUGACACAGAAGUUUAAGUCAAAUAAACCC